ACACUCCUACGGGAGGCAGCAGUGGGGAAUAUUGCACAAUGGGCGCAAGCCUGAUGCAGCCAUGCCGCGUGUAUGAAGAAGGCCUUCGGGUUGUAAAGUACUUUCAGCGGGGAGGAAGGCAAUACGGUUAAUAACCGUGUUGAUUGACGUUACCCGCAGAAGAAGCACCGGCUAACUCCGUGCCAGCAGCCGCGGUAAUACGGAGGGUGCAAGCGUUAAUCGGAAUUACUGGGCGUAAAGCGCACGCAGGCGGUCUGUCAAGUCGGAUGUGAAAUCCCCGGGCUCAACCUGGGAACUGCAUUCGAAACUGGCAGGCUUGAGUCUUGUAGAGGGGGGUAGAAUUCCAGGUGUAGCGGUGAAAUGCGUAGAGAUCUGGAGGAAUACCGGUGGCGAAGGCGGCCCCCUGGACAAAGACUGACGCUCAGGUGCGAAAGCGUGGGGAGCAAACAGGAUUAGAUACCCGGGUAGUCCCA
rnacentral:rRNA from 1 species